GCCAGAGCUGUCUACAAGAUCAAUUUCUUAAAUUAUUAAAUUUUAGACACAGAAUAUUUGUUUGGCCAAUUUUAAUUUAAAUUUUAUAUGUACAAUAUGAACAAACCUCCAAUAUUAACUGCAGAUGUGGUCCAGAAGAUGUUUCAACAAGAAGGAAUUGAGCGAAACACAACUAAUGGCGGCAUGUGUGAAACUUUAGGUUAUGGCAUUGCAAUAACAACUCAAAAGGACAACAAAAAUAUUUUACCGGAGUCAAACAAAGUGAUAGGCUUUAAAGAAUCGCUCGCUCUACUCUGCAUCAAAAGCAAGCUGCGCAAUCGGUUUAGUCAAAAAGAAACAAGUCCUAAUACUUUUUAGUCUGUAAAUUAUUACACAGAUAAUACGGUUCGGUACGGGCAUCAAUAAUUAAUUAAUAAUUCCACAACAAAACAAUACAUUGUUGAUUCGAUUGCGAACUUGAAAUGAGCAGUGAAAAAGCAAAAGGAAUCGCAGCAUUCAGGGGUAUCAAGGGAUUUAAUAAAGAAAAACCAGAGCCAAGCUGGAUAUAUAAAUAUAUAAAAAAUAAUAAUAAUACGUGUGCUAUCGGACUAGGAGUGCCACUAAACGGGAAGUGCGGCAGAGAAGCCCGGCGAGAUUAAGGUCACCAGAGAAGCGGAUUGGCCACCACCUCAGGAUGGCCUCAGCUUUUUUUUUUAAUAAAAUAAUAUUUAAGAAAAAA